CUUCAUAUGGCCGGCCAAGCAAGGAAGAGAGAGAAAGAGAGGAAGAACAAAGGGAAAAACAAGAAAACCUAGGUGAAAAAUUCAAAGAAAAAGUGAAGAAAUCAAGGAAACAAGCUAGGUAAGUUAGAAUUUCUUUAGUUCUCCUUGAUACCUAGCUUACCCAUGCUUUUGUUCUUGAUUUUCAUGGUUGAAUAUUGAGUUAUUAUGAUGAAUUCAAUUCUGAAAAAUGGGUUAGGAGAGAGAAACUUGUUAGAUUAAUUUGAUUUUAAGUUAUGUUAGUGUUUUAAGUUAGUUUAGCAUAUUUAGAAACAAAACAACAAGAAAAGAAUUUAUUUUCUCCCACAACCAUUAAUGGCCGAAUUUACCAUGUGUUGAGUGAGGAUGAAUUUGAUUUUCAUUCUAGGAGAAUUGGUUAAGAAAUGAUGAAUUAUGAGCCUAGAAAAAUAAUGAGAAUUUUCAGAGCAAAAAUACGAAUUUUUACCCACUAGGGGUAUUUUCGUAAUUUGCUAUCGAGACUGAUAAAUUGAAUCUCAUUCACAGUCAUGAAGGUAAUUUAGGUAUAAUUGGAGUGUAAAAAGUGAGAAGAAUUGAUUUGAAGUUAAAUUGGAGAUAAUAGGCCGAAUUAGGUCAGUACCGCAUUUAAGCGGUAGUUUGAUAAGUUAUAUAUCAUAUCAUGCAUAUAUACCGAGCUUGAAUUGAUUUUGUAAUGGUCAAGCAUUGAUGUGAUGAAUUAUUGUACAUUGUGGAUAGGUGGUGAGCAAAGUACACUGGUAAAAGUACAAAAAUUGUGCUUGGAGACUGAGAUUAGGAGUACAUCGACUCCUAAAACUGUGAGUGAACUUAUUAUCGUCUUAAUUAUCUAGAGUAGUUUUAUACAAUUGUGUGAUUUUAUGAAAAAUGGGUUUAAAAUGGUAAAUUGCUAUGUUUUAAGAGAAAUUGUGAUUUUAUAAAAUGAUUUUAUAAAUUUUCUGAAAAAUUGAAUACUGGUUUUGAAAAUAGAGUAAUUGGAGACUGCCUGCUUGUGUUGCAAAUUUAUGGUUUUGAAUUGAAUGGCUUAUGACAAUAAAUGAGCAUGAAUGGCUAAACUAAUUUUGAUAUUAGAAUUAUUUAUACUGUGUAUUCAGCCUUGAGAGGCUAGGUUGCGAUAAAUUGCCAUGUCAUGCUAGAAUGAAUUUUAUUGAUUGGUGGAUUAUAUAUUAAUUAUUCACUGUAGAGGGGGUUCCGUGGACCAGCUUAUUAGAGGGGCACGAAAAACUCCAUUAUAUACUUACCUCGAACGGAGAGGCGCGUAGGGUAUCUCUUGGGGUAAAGCUUAGGGUUCACUUCACGCCAAACCACCACGUGAAGGGGAACUCAACCAACGUCAAGGAACGGCUGUAUUUUCUCAAACUAAAAAUAUAUUUUAAGUGUAUACGAAAUUUUAACAGCCUUGACGGACUCAAUUGGAUGCCCUGCGCAAGGUAUCACCGAGUAUGAGUUUUGGCACGAGCCAAAGUUUUAAGAAAUUCAUAAGCCAAGUUGAUUACUCGAUUUUUAUGGAUUGAUUUUAUUUGGUUGAAAUGAGUUGAAAGGUAAUGAAAUUACAAUAUGAUGAUUUAUUUUAAUUGUCUCCAUUUACUCGACUUUAGAUAGUUUAGAUGGUAUCUGUUUACUCACUAGGAUUUUAUAAUCUCACCACCCUCAUUUCCUCACAUUUCAAGCUCGGAGAAUUCCAUAGUUAGCUGACUUUGACAAGGACCUUCAUUUGGACUCGAAUCGGUAAAAGUUGUAGGUUUUCAACUUCCGAUGCAUUUUGGAUAGAUGUGGGCCCACGUGUCACUGUAAAAGAAAUUUUAUGCUUUGGUUAUUUGCUUUAUAGUAUAUAUGAAUAUAAUUA
rnacentral:lncRNA from 1 species